GACGAACGCUGGCGGCGUGCUUAACACAUGCAAGUCGAACGGAAAGGCUCUGCUUUUGUGGGGUGCUCGAGUGGCGAACGGUUGAGUAACACGUGAGUAACCUGCCCUUGACUUUGGGAUAACUUCAGGAAACUGGGGCUAAUACCGGAUAGGAGCUCCUGCUGCAUGGGGGGGGUUGGAACGAUACGGGGGUUGGGGAUGGGGCGGCGUCUCAUCAGCUUGUUGGUGGGGUAGUGGCUAACCAAGGCUAGGACGGGUAGCGGGCGUGAGAGGGCGACCGCCACAAAGGGAAGUGCGACACGGUCCAUACACCUACGGGUGGCUGCAGUGAAGAACAUUCGACAAUGGGGGAAAGCCUGAUCGAGCGACGCGGCGGGCGGAAAGAAGCUCUUGGGAGCGUAAACGGCUUUUAUAGGGAAAAAACGCGAGUGAUAGUACCCUAUGAAUAAGGACUUGCUAACCUCGUG
rnacentral:rRNA from 1 species